rnacentral:lncRNA from 1 species
CGAGGCUGCACCCUUGGCAGAAAGAACACCUGACAUGGCUGAAAGCUUGGUGGAAAAAACACCUGACGAGGCUGCACCCUUGGCGGAAAGAACACCUGACAUGGCUGAAAGCUUGGUGGAAAAAACACCUGACGAGGCUGCACCCUUGGCGGAAAGAACACCUGAUAUGGCUGAAAGCUUGGUGGAAAAAACACCUGAUGAGGUUGCACGCUUGGUGGAGGGAACAUCUGACAAAAUUCAAUGUCUGGGGAAAGCAACAUCUGGAAAGUUUGAAUAGUCAACAGAAGAAACACCUAGGAAAAUUUUGAGGCCUACAAAAGAAACAUCUGAGAAAUUUUCAUGGCCAGCAAAAGAAAGACCUAGGAAGAUCACAUGGGAGGAAAAAGAAACAUCUGUAAAGACUGAAUGCGUGGCAGGAGUAACACCUAAUAAAACUGAAGUUUUGGAAAAAAGGUACAUCUAAUAUGAUUGCAUGUCCUACAAAAGAAACAUCUACAAAAGCAAGUACAAAUGUGGAUGUGAGUUCUGUAGAGUCCACAUUCAGUCUUUUUGGCAAACCGACUACUGAAAAUUCACAGUCUACAAAAGUUGAGGAAGACUUUAAUCUUACUACCAAGGAGGGAGCAACAAAGACAGUAACUGGACAACAAGAACGUGAUAUUGGCAUUACUGAACGAGCUC